AGUGAACGCUGGCGGUAGGCUUAACACAUGCGAGUCGAACGGCAGCACAGUAAGAGCUUGCUCUUACGGGUGGAGAGUGGCGGACGGGUGAGGAAUAUAUCGGAAUCUACUUUUUCGUGGGGGAUAACGUCGGGAAACUUACGCUAAUACCGCAUACGACCUACGGGUGAAAGCAGGGGAUCUUCGGACCUUGCGCGAUUGAAUGAGCCGAUGUCGGAUUCGCUAGUUGGCGGGGUAAAGGCCCACCAAGGCGACGAUCCGUAGCUGGUCUGAGAGGAUGAUCAGCCACACUGGAACUGAGACACGGUCCAGACUCCUACGGGAGGCAGCAGUGGGGAAUAUUGGACAAUGGGCGCAAGCCUGAUCCAGCCAUACCGCGUGGAUGAAGAAGGCCUUCGGGUUGUAAAGCCCUUUUGUUGGGAAAGAAAAGCAGCAGGUUAAUACCCCGCUGUUCUGACGGUACCCAAAGAAUAAGCACCGGCUAACUUCGUG
rnacentral:rRNA from 1 species